CCCUUAGAUGUUCGGGGCCGCACGCGCGCUACACUGAAGGAAUCAGCACGUCUUUCUCCUUGUCCGAAAGGACUGGGUAACCCGCUGAACCUCCUUCGUGCUAGGGAUUGGGGCUUGUAAUUCUUCCCCAUGAACGAGGAAUUCCCAGUAAGCGCGAGUCAUAAGCUCGCGUUGAUUACGUCCCUGCCCUUUGUACACACCGCCCGCCGCUACUACCGAUUGGAUGGUUUAGUGAGAUCCUCGGAUUGGUCCCGGAGCGGCCUCUGGUCGUGCCGGAGUGCCGAAAAGAAUGUCGAACUUGAUCAUCUAGAGGAAGUAAAAGUCGUAACA
rnacentral:rRNA from 1 species